AACAGGAUUAGAUACCCUGGUAGUCCACGCUGUAAACGAUGUCGACUUGGAGGUUGUGCCCUUGAGGCGUGGCUUCCGGAGCUAACGCGUUAAGUCGACCGCCUGGGGAGUACGGCCGCAAGGUUAAAACUCAAAUGAAUUGACGGGGGCCCGCACAAGCGGUGGAGCAUGUGGUUUAAUUCGAUGCAACGCGAAGAACCUUACCUACUCUUGACAUCCAGAGAAUUUGCUAGAGAUAGCUUAGUGCCUUCGGGAACUCUGAGACAGGUGCUGCAUGGCUGUCGUCAGCUCGUGUUGUGAAAUGUUGGGUUAAGUCCCGCAACGAGCGCAACCCUUAUCCCUUGUUGCCAGCGAGUAAUGUCGGGAACUCAAAGGAGACUGCCGGUGAUAAACCGGAGGAAGGUGGGGAUGACGUCAAGUCAUCAUGGCCCUUACGAGUAGGGCUACACACGUGCUACAAUGGCAUAUACAAAGAGAAGCGAACUCGCGAGAGCAAGCGGACCUCAUAAAGUAUGUCGUAGUCCGGAUUGGAGUCUGCAACUCGACUCCAUGAAGUCGGAAUCGCUAGUAAUCGUAGAUCAGAAUGCUACGGUGAAUACGUUCCCGGGCCUUGUACACACCGCCCGUCACACCAUGGGAGUGGGUUGCAAAAGAAGUAGGUAGCUUAACCUUCGGGAGGGCGCUUACCACUUUGUGAUUCAUGACUGGGGUGAAGUCGUAACAAGGUAACC
rnacentral:rRNA from 1 species